rnacentral:rRNA from 1 species
UACGUAGGGUGCGAGCGUUUGUCCGGAAUUAUUGGGCGUAAAGAGCUCGUAGGCGGCUUGUUGCGUCGGCUGUGAAAACCCGGAGCUCAACUCCGGGCCUGCAGUCGAUACGGGCGGACUCGAGUUCGGCAGGGGAGACUGGAAUUCCUGGUGUAGCGGUGGAAUGCGCAGAUAUCAGGAGGAACACCAAUAGCGAAGGCAGCUCGCUGGGACGUUACUGACACUGAGGCGCGAAAGCGUGGGGAGCGAACAGG